rnacentral:lncRNA from 1 species
AAAUAACUUGUUUUAUUUGGUUUAACCGAAUGCUUCCUAAAUCUUCAUCUACCAUUUCACUAUUUUGACAUUCAAUCUUUGAUUUUCUGACAUCUCCUGUUCCCAGAUGUACUCAAUGGCAAGUUAUUUUUUUAAUGAUGGUGAAAUUAAAGUGUCCUGGUUAAGACAAUUUUGCAAGAAUUUUGUGGCAGUCCCACAGGCCCCUGGGAUCUUCCCUAGGGUAUUGCUAAAACAGCAUUGGGAAACAUGGUUUUUUCACUGUGGUCUUGUCGAAAGUCAGGGUUAAACUAUUCUUUUUCUUCUUUGGCUGGCCAUACAUCUCAAGAUACAAUAGCUUAUAUUUGUAUGGCAUUUUAUAGUUUACAUUAUCACAUGCAUCAUCUCAGUUUCUCCUCAAAACAACACGAACUGUAGGGAUCAUUACUCCAUUUUCUUGCUUAAGGCCCUAAGCUAGCCAGAGGCAAUGUCUAGAUCUAAACUACUCUUUCUUCUAGAUGUGCUGCUCUGCUGGUACCUCCAACGGAUUUUUUCUUGAACAUAUUAUUUAGCUUUUGGGCCAAAUCACAAUGUUGGGUGGAAAUUUCUACGAUUUGGGCGGGUUGUAAUCUCUCCCCGCAAAAUAAAAUACUGAUUGCUGUUCUGUAGUGAAGCAUGGAAGGUCACCAGGGGAAGGCACUCAGAUUGGACCUCCAGGGCUUGGAAGGCACACAGCGACGUCAGAUCCCCUUGAAGAGUCCAGGACACAGGCGAGCUGGGGCUGACCUGGGCCUUUUGCUCCUUCACCUACAAUCUUUCCCAGUCUCCACUGUGCCUCGGGGCCCCAAGUACCAUCUGCGUCCAAACAUUUUCUCUAAGGAGUUGGAAUCUUGCCUCUUAUUUCCCUGUCCUAGAGGAGGAGCCACUCAUGUGAAAAGAUCACGAGCCGAAAGGCCCUCCUCGGAGCCCGUGGGGGAGCCUUUCACGGGCUGGGCAGAGGCCACUUGCUCAGCUUUGCAGAUCCUGGGUCCAGAAGCGCCGGGACACCGUAACAGUUGAUCGGCGGAUUCCACUUACUGUGACUAUCCAGUCUCCUCUAGGCCUUUGGACAUCUGAAAGGCAGUGUUAAGAGCCCAACUCUGGAGAUGGACUUUGGCUCCACCACCAAGUAUUAAUAGCUCUGUGACUUGGGGCAAGUUACUUAACCUCCCUACACCACAGUUUCCACUGCUGUAAAUUGGGGAUGAUGAUAAUAACAGCCACCUCACAAGGUUGCCUGGAGAUUUGAUUAAAUGAAAUAAUUAGCAUGGAGUUUAUCUAGUCUUACCUGUCAGAGUCAAGAGCCUUCUUUCUCCUAAGCUGACCUUAGUAUCUCCCCCUGUCCGCCCCCUUUACUUUGGAUCCUAACUCAUAAAACGGGAUUGCUUGACAGUAUGUUUUCUUUGUGUACAGAUAGCUUGUUUCUUCAACCUACAUUUUAAGUUCUUUCAACAGUCACUUUUAUUUCUAUGCACACUUAAAGGCACCAACUUAGUGCAUUGCACACAACUUGUGUUCAAUAAAUUUUUGUUGAUUGAAUGAUAAAUAAAACCUCAGUGAUACCUAGAAAGAGAUUUUUCUAGAAAAUUUGAAGGUAUAGAAAAGAAAAACUCUUCAUAGGGCAGGAUGAGUAGAAUAAAACUUGAGAUAUGAAGUCAACUUUGUUAGUUUAGAACCAUAAAAAUGUAUCAUGUAGAGUAAUCUCAACUAUGUAAAGAAAACUGCAAAACAAAACUGGAAGUAAACAUGCCAGAUUUUAUAGUUGAUGUCUUAGUGUAGGAGGAGUAUGAGUGAUUUUUUUCCCCUCCUGUUUUAUACUUUUUAGUCCUUUCCAGCUUUUCCAUGGUCAAUAUGUGUUUCUGAGUUGCUCAGGAAAAGUACUUCUAUUAUCCAUAUAAUUUAGCCAAUCAAAAUGAUCACAUUUUGGAUAUUUAGAGAUGUGAUGACCUUGGAGGAAAAAAAAAAUCAUGAGAACAAAACAAUUGCGUUCCUCUAAGUUUUCCUUCAUUUUUUUUCCCCAGAGCAGCCACCCUUUACUGAUUUGUGCCAGAAAAUCAAUUUGUCAGUUUGAAGUGUAGAGAUAUUUCCUUUUCAGGGACCAGAAUAUUUGUCUUUCCUAUCUAGGGGACUUCCUUUGAAGUGUCAAGAUUCCAGGCAGGGAAUCAGCAUUGUAGAAGGGUCUUGGACUAAAUUCAGAGCCAAGGCAAAGUGAGGCAAAUUAUCUUAAUGAUUAUUUCAACUAGCUUAGUGAACUUUCACCUUUUCAGUGAUUUAUUUUAUUUAUUUAUUUUUUUUAGACAGGGACUUGCUCUGUGCAGGCUAGAAUGCAGUGGUGCAAUCAUAGCUCACUGAAGCCUUGAACCUCUGGGCUCAAACGAUCCUCCUGCCCCAGCUUCCCAAGUAGCUGGGACUACAGGCAUGCAUUACCAUGCCCAGCUAAUAUUUUAAAUUUUUGGUAGAGAUGGGGUCUUGCCCAGGGUGGCCUUGAACUCCUGGCCUCAAGCAAUCCUCCUGCCUUGGCCUCCCAAAGCUCUGGGAUUACCGACAUGAGCCACCGUGCUGGCCUCCUGUGAUUUCUUUCUUUAUUUAUUUACUAUUAUUUUUAUUUUUUUCUUUCAAGGCUUUAGGAUGUACCAGUGAUCUUCUGUUUAUAUUACUGUAACAUAAAAAAAACACACACAACAACUUACAAAGUUAUAAUUCACUCAACUGGAGUUACCUUCCACUUUUACUGAAAAUUAGGACAACACUUCAAUUUAUCUGUGCAUAGAGUCAUUCAUUCAACAAAAAUUUACUAAGUGCCAGGCCAUGUGCUGAUGCUGGAAAUGAGAAAUAAGACCUGGUCCUUAUCUUUCAGAAGUUUAGGGUCUAGUUGAUGAACACUCAUAUACAAACAGUGAUAUGUAGAAAAUUGUCUCAAGGGCUUCGGUAGAUCCAGGUAGACAGACUUACAGCAGCUAGUGGGACAAAAAUGAGAAGCCAGUUCUAGUUGGGCAGGGAGACAGCAAAGAGGAGGGAGCAGAAAAGAACUUCAGAGACAACCAGUUAUCUGGGCUGAUUAUGAAUCUUUAGCUUAUAAGUGGGUAGUAUUUCCUGACGUGAGGCUAUUGUUUUUUUUUGUACUUUGUCGUAAUCAUGUUGUCUUACAUACUGUCUAUCUGAUUACUUUCUCUGCUACAUUAAGGAUAUGCUUCAUGAUUCUUUCCAUCAUUGAGAAAUGCAAUGAGUUUAUAACAUUUAAAUCCUAUUCCAUCAUAGUCUAAGAACUGACCAAAUUUUAAAAAUAUAUCAAUCAUUUUAUCAGGUAACAUUGAAAUUUGUAAAAUACAAAAACCCUAAACUUUUUACUUUUACUUAAAGUGUAUAAUUGUACAUUCAUUCCUCAAUGAUUAGAUGUUGGGCUCAGUGUUGGAAUCCUCUGAUUGAAAUUACUCAUUGUUUUUCUUGCAUUAACCCUGCCUGUGAUACACUGGGUUUAUGGUUUCCAGCCUUUGUUUUUCUAUAGAGAAGAGUGAGCUUAGACACUUAACAAACAAUAUGAGUGUGGAGUCUUUUAGGCUUUACACUUUCUUUUCCUAAUCUUUUAGUUUUUUAGCCCAUAACUAAUUUG